GGGGGUGUAGCUCAGCUGGUUAGAGCGCUGGCCUGUCACGCCAGAGGUCGCGGGUUCGAGUCCCGUCACUCCCGCCA
rnacentral:tRNA from 3 species